UCAACCAUCAAGCCUGGCUUGCUGUUGGACCUUGCGCAUGCCGGUGGUCGGCAAUAGCAGGUCUUCAAGGUAGUGGCGGUGUCGUGGUGGACCCCGGAUACAACGAGCUCCCUACAGCACGUAUCAAGGUGGCCCCCGGUCCAGCCUCACCGGAAUCUCACAUCUCAA
rnacentral:misc_RNA from 1 species